rnacentral:lncRNA from 1 species
GCGAGCUCGUUGAUCUUUUCGAGUAUCCUGAGUGGGCCGAAGAAUCUGGGAUGGAGCUGUGACUACACUAGGAGAUUCCAACCGUUGCCCAAUCAGCUGCUGCAUCUUCCUGAUGGCUUCCACUUGGUCACUGACGUCGUUUGAUGAAAUGGGAGUUGUCAUCAAGAUCGGGGAAGCUACUGCACGUCCAUAAAGCGCCUGGUAUGGAGACAUACCGAUGGUUGAGUGCCGAGCAGUGUUGUAGGCA